CCCUUCGUGGUGUAGUGGUCAGCACGCUGGGCGCGUAUUCCAGAGGUCCGUGGUUCGAGUCCCGGCGAAGGCA
rnacentral:tRNA from 1 species